CUGCCAUCCACGUAAGAUGUGACUUGCUCCUCCUUGCCUUCCGUCAUGAUUGUGAGGCGCUCCCAGCCAUGUGGAACUGACGAAACACUGGAACUCUCCAGAAUAAAUUGGUACCUGGGUCUCUUCUGAAGUGAGCUGCUCUUAGGAGCUUCAAAUGAGGGUCUUUGAAGCCACAUGAAAAUUGAUGAGUGGUUGUAACAUCCAAGCUACCAAAUCAGACACACUUGUAAUUGUUCCCAAUCCCCUCCAGCACCAUCCUGCAUUCUGCUUCCAAGAUACAUGAGCUUUCUGAAGAGCUGGUGAGAAUGCUGAAACUUCCUGGCCUUGGUUUCCCAUCUGGUAAAAUGAGGAAGACCAAAGCUUAACUCUCACAAGGAAUAUGCAGCAGGGAGAAGUCUAAGAGACAAAAUCAAUAAGGCUAGAGAAGAUUGGCUUUCUCUGGAUACUGUACCUUAUCCAUGUGAACAGGAGAUUUUAUAGUGACUUGUUUCAGUAUAAACAAAGAGGACUGGAAUAACUGAUUGCUGAGGACUCCAAUCAUGGCAGCACUGUAUGAUAUGAAUGUAAAAUAAGCAUGACUGACUGCAACAAGAAGGCAGCCUGAAUCUACCUGAAGAAUCCUCAGGCCAUCCGAUUUGAUGAUAUAGUCAGUAGGAUUGUUUGGUUUGCUAGUAACAUAAAUUCAAAGCUUCAGGAAGGAGACUGGGCACAGCGGCUCAUGCCUGUAAUCCCAGCACUUUGGGAGGCCAAGGCGAGUGGAUCAUUUGAGGCCAGCAGUUCUAGACCAGCCUGGCCAAUAUGGUGAAACGCCGUCUCUACUAAAAAUACAAAAAUCAGCUGGGCAUGGUGGCACAUGCUUAUAAUCCCAUCUACUCAGGAGGCUGAGGCAUAAGAAUCGCUUGAACCCAAGAGGUGGAGGUUGCAGUGAGCCAAGAUUGUGCCACUAUACUCCAGCCUGGGUGACAGAGCAAGACUCUGUCUCAAACAAAACAAAACAAAACAAAACAAAACAAAACAAAAACAACAAAACACACACACACAAACACCAAAGCUUCAGGAAAAAAAAGGCAGACUAAAUUAUAUGGUAAGUAGGCUGUUUCAUUGAACUGAAAUGCAAAAGUAAACCGGAGAUGUAAGUUGUCACAAGAUCUCUCUUCUUGGUUCUCUUUCCACUGCUCAAUCCAUACAGUGAGUAAAAUUUUACGUCUUAACUCUCUCCUGCUCCUCAUUCCUAGCUUGGCCCACUCAAGACCAGACUUGAAUUAAACAUCAAAAUCAUGGUUUCUAGAGCCCCAGUUUCUGGAUGAGAUAGGGUAGAGGAAUGACAGAGAAUGAUUCCCAGAGAAAGGGGUGUUGUUUGUUAAAGGCAAAACAUGCUUGCAAUAGACAUAGAAAACUUUGGAGAGGGACAGUCUAUGGUAGUUAUUUAAGAAGAGUUACUUAGUAUUUCAUGAAUUAUGAGUCAGACUUUUUGAGUCAAACUUAUGUUAAGAGAGGGUUUCAUUUAUGACAAGCAAUAGUUGGCAUUGUUUAAUCCUGUGGUAUAGUAGAAAGAACAGCUUUGAAAUUUGAUAGGCCUAGCUUUCAAUGUAAGUUCUGCCACUUCUGGCUGAGUUUCACUGGAUAAGUGAUUUAACCUUUCUGUAAAAUGGGCAUAAUAAUAAUGCCCACCUUGUAAAGUUGCUUUGAGAAUUAAAGACAGAUGUACAAGAAUUGAG
rnacentral:lncRNA from 1 species